UACAGAGGGCCCGAGCGUUGUUCGGAUUCAUUGGGCGUAAAGGGUGCGUAGGCGGCGGGGCAAGUCUGAUGUGAAAUCCCGGGGCUCAACCCCGGAACUGCAUUGGAUACUGCUUUGCUAGAGUACUGGAGAGGGAACUGGAAUUUACGGUGUAGCAGUGAAAUGCGUAGAGAUCGUAAGGAAGGCCAGUGGCGAAGGCGAGUUCCUGGACAGUGACUGACGCUGAGGCACGAAGGCCAGGGGAGCAAACGGG
rnacentral:rRNA from 1 species